UGUUGCAAACAUGUGUGGCAAAGUGGGCAAAGAAGCAGCGAAAACCCUUGACGGAAGAUGCAAAGAAAAGGAAAAGAGCUUCACACUGAGCAAGGGCUCGCAAACGCAUCGACACGUACAGACGCUAGGGUGAGCUUCGUAGAGAAAAAGCACUCAGGCUUGCCUGGUGUCCCUUUAACCCUCUAACCACCCAAACGGUGACUGGUAGCA